CUCGCAAAACUCCUUCAGGAUCUUUUUAAAUUCAACCGCAUUCUGAACCGUGACCCGGCCCACCAAUAUAAAGUCAUCUACAAAGAGCAUGUACAAGAUCGACUGGGCUUCCAGGGCCGACACAUAGCGAUCAAGUGCCAGCCCCUAUGCCACAAUACGUAUAGCUUUCAAGAGGACGUUAUUACACAUAAUAAAGAGGUAUGGGGACAGGAGAUCCAGAGUGUAGUGGAUCAGAGUGGAGAAUCAAGAUUUUUCC
rnacentral:lncRNA from 1 species